rnacentral:tRNA from 2 species
GCCCCGGUAGCUCAGUGGAUAGAGCAAGUGGGUUCUAACCAUUAGGUCGGGGGUUCGAAUCCCUCCCGGGGUGCCA